AGAGUUUGAUUCUGGCUCAGAACGAACGCUGGCGGCGUGGAUAAGACAUGCAAGUCGAACGAGAGAAUUGCUAGCUUGCUAAUAAUUCUCUAGUGGCGCACGGGUGAGUAACACGUGAGUAACCUGCCCCCAAGAGUGGGAUAGCCCCGGGAAACUGGGAUUAAUACCGCAUAAAAUCGCAAGAUUAAAGCAGCAAUGCGCUUGGGGAUGGGCUCGCGUCCUAUUAGUUAGUUGGUGAGGUAACGGCUCACCAAGGCGAUGACGGGUAGCCGGUCUGAGAGGAUGUCCGGCCACACUGGAACUGAGACACGGUCCAGACACCUACGGGUGGCAGCAGUCGAGAAUCAUUCACAAUGGGGGAAACCCUGAUGGUGCGACGCCGCGUGGGGGAAUGAAGGUCUUCGGAUUGUAAACCCCUGUCAUGUGGGAGCAAAUUAAAAAGAUAGUACCACAAGAGGAAGAGACGGCUAACUCUGUGCCAGCAGCCGCGGUAAUACAGAGGUCUCAAGCGUUGUUCGGAAUCACUGGGCGUAAAGCGUGCGUAGGCGGUUUCGUAAGUCGUGUGUGAAAGGCGGGGGCUCAACCCCCGGACUGCACAUGAUACUGCGAGACUAGAGUAAUGGAGGGGGAACCGGAAUUCUCGGUGUAGCAGUGAAAUGCGUAGAUAUCGAGAGGAACACUCGUGGCGAAGGCGGGUUCCUGGACAUUAACUGACGCUGAGGCACGAAGGCCAGGGGAGCGAAAGGGAUUAGAUACCCCUGUAGUCCUGGCAGUAAACGGUGCACGCUUGGUGUGCGGGGAAUCGACCCCCUGCGUGCCGGAGCUAACGCGUUAAGCGUGCCGCCUGGGGAGUACGGUCGCAAGAUUAAAACUCAAAGAAAUUGACGGGGACCCGCACAAGCGGUGGAGUAUGUGGCUUAAUUCGAUGCAACGCGAAGAACCUUACCUGGGCUUGACA
rnacentral:rRNA from 1 species